GGAUCGUCUGCUGGGAGCCGGAGGACCGAUUGCUGUCUGCGGGACAAAUUGAUCAAGUUCUCAUCGGUGAGUAUUGAGGCCGGUCACUAGGGGUGAACGCGACCGACAAUUUCCCAUCGUUAGACCUGCGGUGAGAGAUUUAUUUGAAGAAGAACCCCAACUGGAAACAAACCACGACUGAAGACGAGGGAACAGCAACAAGUGAACCAGCCCGAGGACUGAGAGCAUCAACUGGAGAGGACUCUUCCGAAUCGGAGAUUCCAGGAUUCAGUCAGGAGAAAGUUUGGUUAAAAACGAAAAGGAAUUUGUCUCCAGGAAUCUCAAACACGAUACGCCAGUUUUGCUGUCUCUAUCCAGAUAUUUAUACAGUGGAGUCGACCGUCCUUCCUGCUCAGACUGAGGGGAGGGAUCAACUAGGUCAUCUGACCAACUGGCACGCCCGUCAUUUUCGACAGGAGAAAGACCGUUCACCUGCUCACUCAAUGGGAAUGGAUUCACUCGGUCACCUCAAUUGAAGCUACAUCAGCAAUUUCACACUGGGAAAGGACAUUCAACUGCUCUGUGUGUGAGAAGGG